rnacentral:tRNA from 1 species
UCCCUGGUGGCUCAGAUGGUAAAGAAUCUGCCUGCAAAGCAGGAGACCUGGGUUCACUUCCUGGGUAGGGAA